GCCUUCGUGGUGUAGUGGUCAGCACACUCGACGCUUAUUCGAGAGUCCCAGGUUCGGGUCAUGGCGAAGGCA